rnacentral:lncRNA from 1 species
GGAGCUGGGCGAUUUUUUCAUUAUUUUUGUUUUGCGAUUUGUUCCUCAUCGCUGUGUAAUCCACGAUGCUUGAUCUGUGAUUUGGAAAAAAGUUUCUAUGAUUUGGGUGAUCUGAGACGGUACGGUGGAAAUGGCAGGCCAGAGGCCUGCUUUUUUUUAAAAUUUUGAAAAUAGCAUCACCGUCGGUCGUUUUAGACGCCCGCCGCUGAUGAUUGUACAUCAGUAACGGUCAUGACCAUCAUUACUGACAGGAAGUGAGUGACGGUCAUCCCGCCCGUUACUGGUGCGGUUUUUCGACCGUUACCGACGACCUUUUCUGUAGCAGUGAUAUAAAAUGAUAGCAUCCAAGUGGAUGUGUAGAAACUUUUGAAGCAGUAAAAACUCAUAACCUCCGCUCACACAAAAGCAUAACUUGGAGAAAUCCAGGCACAU